UGGGGAAUAUUGGGCAAUGGGCGCAAGCCUGACCCAGCAACGCCGCGUGAGGGAAGAAGGCUUUCGGGUUGUAAACCUCUGUCCUUGGUGACGAAAAAAAUGACGGUAGCCAAGGAGGAAGCCCCGGCUACCUACGUGCCAGCAGCCGCGGUAAUACGUAGGGGGCGAGCGUUGUCCGGAAUUACUGGGCGUAAAGGGUGCGUAGGUGGCCUUUUAAGUUGGAUGUGAAAUCCCCGAGCUUAACUUGGGUGGUGCGUCUAAUACUGGAGGGCUAGAGUGCAGGAGAGGAAAGCGGAAUUCCUAGUGGAGCGGUGAAAUGCGUAGAUAUUAGGAGGAACACCAGUGGCGAAGGCGGCUUUCUGGACUGUAACUGACACUGAGGCGCGAAAGCGUGGGGAGCAAACA
rnacentral:rRNA from 1 species